rnacentral:rRNA from 1 species
AGAGUUUGUUCCUGGCUCAGGAUGAACGCUGGCGGCGUGCUUAACACAUGCAAGUCGAACGGGAAACCUUUUAUUGAAGCUUCGGCAGAUUUAGAUUGUUUCUAGUGGCGGACGGGUGAGUAACGCGUGGGUAACCUGCCUUAUACAGGGGGAUAACAGUCAGAAAUGACUGCUAAUACCGCAUAAGCGCACAGAGCUGCAUGGCUCAGCGUGAAAAACUCCGGUGGUAUAAGAUGGACCCGCGUUGGAUUAGCUGGUUGGUGAGGUAACGGCCCACCAAGGCGACGAUCCAUAGCCGGCCUGAGAGGGUGAACGGCCACAUUGGGACUGAGACACGGCCCAGACUCCUACGGGAGGCAGCAGUGGGGAAUAUUGCACAAUGGGGGAAACCCUGAUGCAGCGACGCCGCGCGAAGGAAGAAGUAUCUCGGUAUGUAAACUUCUAUCAGCAGGGAAGAAUUAGGACGGUACCUGACUAAGAAGCCCCGGCUAACUACGUGCCAGCAGCCGCGGUAAUACGUAGGGGGCAAGCGUUAUCCGGAUUUACUGGGUGUAAAGGGAGCGUAGACGGAUGGACAAGUCUGAUGUGAAAGGCUGGGGCUCAACCCCGGGACUGCAUUGGAAACUGCCCGUCUUGAGUGCCGGAGAGGUAAGCGGAAUUCCUAGUGUAGCGGUGAAAUGCGUAGAUAUUAGGAGGAACACCAGUGGCGAAGGCGGCUUACUGGACGGUAACUGACGUUGAGGCUCGAAAGCGUGGGGAGCAAACCAGGAUUAGAUACCCUGGUAGUCCACGCGGUAAACGAUG